GAAAGGAUUAAUGUCAUCUACACCUCUUCAUCACCGAUUACAGAUUGAAUUCCACUACACUCAGUUCUUUCAGCCACCCAAUGAGGAGGUUUCCCCGGCAGGAGUGACAAUGGCCCCGCCACAAUUUGUCGAGGUUCCUUUAACGGAUGUUUUUGCAUAGAGAGUUUUACUGUAAAUUGUAGAGAGUGUGAUUACUUUAACUAGUUUUUUUUUUUUUAUUUUAGCUUUUGGGUAUGUUUGUAAUCGAACUGGGGUAAAGGGGAACCUGUUUGAGAUUGGGAAAGCAUGUUUUUUUUGAUUUGGGUUGGAAAAGGAAACAAUUUUUUUUUCAAAGUGGAAAUGGUUUUUUUUUUUUUUUUUUUUUUUUUUUUUUUUUUUUUCUAUAUAAACUUUCGGUCAUAUGUUCCUAAUUUCUAUAGAGCUGUAAUUUCUUUCUUCAAGUAUCAAAGGCGUCUGAUUCCCAAUUUUUACACGCUCUUAUUAAUCCAACUUCCAUUUCACAGACACUAAAAAACUUAGUGUAGGGGAAACUGAGGUUACGCCAUUCUAAUUCUAACGAGUCUUCUCUAAUUAAACUCUCAAAUUGUGAUUUUAAUAGGCAUGAGGUCACAGUUAUUCUGAAAUCAAUUGGCAAUGACAGUCCCAAGGAAAUCGCAGAAUGAUGUCAAGAAAGGAUUAAUGUCAUCGACACCUCUUCAUCACCAAUUACAAAUUGAAUUCCACUUCCCUCAGUUCUUCCAUGCACCCAAUGAGGAGGUUUCCGCGGCAGGAGUGACAACAGCCACGCCACAAGCAGUCAAGGGGAAAUUAAUGGAGGUUUCUGCUUGGAGAGUUUACUGUAAACUGUACUCUUAACUAGUUUUUCUUCUUUCAUUUUAGCUUUCAGGUAUGUUUGUAAUCGAAUCAGGGGUAAAGGGAAAUUAAAAUUUCGUCUGAGCUUGGGAUAAAGGUGAAAAAGUUUUUACCCACAAGGAUUAUUCAAGCGACAAGCAUUAUUUCACUUGGCAACGAAAGGUGCUUCUCAUCUUCACAAUGUCGGACUCUUGAAGCAGUAACUUGAAAGUAAAAUUUUGUUUUACAGGAAGAAAUUUUAGUUUCCCAAAAGAUUCUCCUUUUUUGUCGAGUUGAAAAGAAUGAGCUUUACAGAGAGUUGCAGAGAAUGAUAGGUUUGAAUGGAGAUAAUCAUUGAGAAAUUGGCUUUCCUGUUUUGCUGCAAAGCUGUGAAGAGAACUUUCCAAGGCCUAAAAACUUUGUGAAUCGUGACCUACGUUAGGCCACCUUUGGUUGGUAAAUAUAUAAAAAAAUUCUAUAUUUGUGAUUUAUAAUUAGUAUUAAACUCUAA
rnacentral:lncRNA from 1 species